UACGUAGGCAGCGAGCGUUGUUCGGAGUUACUGGGCGUAAAGAGUGCGUAGGCGGUGUUCCAAGUCUGUUGUGAAAUCUCCCGGCUCAACUGGGAGGGUGCGGCGGAAACUGGGACGCUGGAGUACGGGAGAGGUAAGCGGAAUUCCUGGUGUAGCGGUGAAAUGCGUAGAUAUCUGGAGGAACAUCGGUGGCGAAGGCGGCAUCCUGGACCGGUAUUGACGCUGAGGCGCGAAAGCCAGGGGAGCAAAGCGGG
rnacentral:rRNA from 1 species